GGGGAAGUGGCUCAGUGGUAGAGUGCUUGCCUUGCAUGCAUGAGGCCCUGGGUUUGAUUCCCCAGCACCA
rnacentral:tRNA from 1 species